GGCCAUUAAAAGUUGUACAAAUCAUGACGCUGCACCCCACGGUUUAUGUUCUAGGGGGCGCCAAAAAUAACCCAAAAAUCCACAUUCUUAAAAGUCUUAUAACUUUUUAUUUUUGUCCUCACUGGCCUCCAAGUUUUCUAGGAUGAUGCUAUGUCCAGCCAUCAACACAUUUGUGAAGGAAUUUUUACUCCCCAAAAGAGCGCCCCCACAUGGCAGGAGAAAAAAGUCCAUUUUUUCUUGUCCCCUAAGGUGAAAAUACACAUUGUUGAGUGUCACACCUAUACGCUUUGUCAUAUUGACCCAAAAUUUGACAAUCACGUGUAUCUCAAUAAGAUCUACGAAAAAGUCAAUGGGCACGUAUCUGUAAAAUGUACGGUUAAAGGGUUAUUUCGCAUUUUUUCCCGAUCCGCACACAUUGGAAUUUCGCUAACUCCUCCGAAGGCUUUAGUUCCACCGCCACCAAAUUUGCUCAGGCCAAUCUACACCCCAUGGCCAUUAAAAGUUGUACAAAUCAUGACGCUGCACUCCACGGUUUAGGUUCUAGGGGGCGCCAAAGAUAACCCAAAAAUCCACAUUCUUAAUAGUCUUAUAACUUUUUAUUUUUGUCCUCACUGGCCUCCAAGUUUUCUAGGAUGAUGCAAUGUCCAGCCAUCAACACAUUUGUGAAGGAAUUUUUACUCCCGAAAAGAGCGCCCCCCAUGGCAGGAGAAAAAAGUCCAUUUUUUCUUGUCCCCUAAGGUGAAAAAACACAUUGUUGACUGUCACGCCUAUACGCUUUGUCAAAAUGACACAAAAUUUGACACACACGUGUAUCUCAAUAAGAUCUACGAAAAAGUCAAUGGGCACGUAUCUGUAAAACGUACGGUUAAAGGGCUAUUUCGCAUUUUUUGCCGAUUCGCACACAUUGGAAUGUGGCUAACUCCUCCUAAGGCUUUCUUCCCACCAACACCAAAUUUGCUCAAGCCGAUCUACAUCACAUGGCCAUUCAAAGUUGUAAAAAUCAUGCCGCUGCACCCCAUGGUUUACGUUCUAGGGGGCGCCAAAGAUGACCCAAAUAUCCACAUUCUUAAAAGAAUCCACCCCCCCCCCCCCCCCAAGGCAGGAGAAAAAGUCCAGUUAACCCUGCCCAUCGCUCAAUGGCUCAAUCGCAUCGCUCUCCUGGCAACACCGUAAGGAGGAGCAACUUGCCAUUUGGAUAUAUCCUAGCUGUGUUUGUGCCCUCACUCAUGGUCCAGACUUUUUUCAAAUAGGACAUGUAGUUUGUCUGCAGCGACCGUUUUGGUAGAAACUGCACCUCCCAUUCAUUAUAAUGGGAAAUGACCACAGACAAGUGCGCACACCAUCUUUGGACCUUGAGUGUGAUGCGAUCGUGAGGGGGAGGCGGUCGCGCUGGGGGCGGCGCGACGCGGCUCGGGCCCGACAGUGCCCCACCGGGGCCCUAGUUAUUAUUUUUCUGCCCCUUUGAACUGGAAAAUGGCCCACUUCCCACUGGUGAAAAGUCAUGAAAUUUGGCAGGACGACCGGGCCUGGUGAAAAAUUCGAUAUUCUGAAGUCGCCCAAAAAAUCAAAUGCAAAAUGGCUCCAUAGCGCCCCCUAAGGUGAAAAAUUCACAUGAUUGAGUGUCACGCCUGUACGCUUUGUCAAAAUGACACAAAAUUUGACACACACGUGUAUCUCAAUAAGAUCUACAAAAAAGUCAGUGCGGGCGUAUCUGUCAAAUGUACGGUUAAAGGGCUAUUUCGCAUUUUUUGCCGAUCCGCACACAUUGGAAUUUCGCUAACUCCUCCGAAGGCUUUCGUUCCACCGGCACCAAAUUUGCUCAGGCCAAUCUACACCCCAUGGCCAUUAAAAGUUGUACAAAUCAUGACGCUGCAUCCCACGGUUUACGUUCUAGGGGGCGCCAAAGAUAACCCAGAAAUCCACAUUCUUAAAAGUCGUAUAACUUUUUAUUUUUGUCCUCACUGGCCUCCAAGUUUUCUAGGAUGAUGCAAUGUCCAGCCAUCAACACAUUUGUGAAGGAAUUUUUACUCCCCAAAAGAGCGCCCCCCAUGGCAGGAGAAAAAAGUCCAUUUUUUCUUGUCUCCUAAGGCGAAAAUUCACACUAUUGACUGUCACGCCUUUACGCUUUGUCAUAUUGACACAAAAAUUGACACACACAUGUAUCUCAAUAAGAUCUACAAAAAAGUCAGUGCGGGCGUAUCUGUCAAAUGUACGGUGAAAGGGCUAUUUCGCAUUUUUUGCCGAUCCGCACACAUUGGAAUUUCGUUAACUCCUCCGAAG
rnacentral:lncRNA from 1 species